rnacentral:rRNA from 1 species
UUGGUCAAUAGCCUAACGGCUGAACCAGCAAUUUGGAAGAAUGUAUAGCAAAAGCUAAUUACAUAAUAUUAUAGUUAUGUAAUAUCGAUUAUAUCGAAUAAAGUUCUGAGUAGAUCUAGAUUAUGACUUAAUUUACUCACGUGUCUUGACUAAAAUGCGUGCCAGCAGUCGCGGUAAGACGUAUAAGACUAGUGUUAUUCAUCUUUAGCAGGUUUAAAGGUACUUAGACGGUGGAUCAAGCCAUAGUAGGGACUAGUCUACUAGAGUUACUUGUAAAGGGGCUUUAAAGUACUAAUGGAGUAGAGAUAAAAUGCUAAUAUACCUUUUUUCGUAAGAAAUAUGAUGGCACUGAUAAAGGCGAAGGCAUCCCCUCAUGUGAUAA